AACGGUUCGAUAACAAUCUUCAUCAUAGCUAGAUCUAUUAAUCUUCUAUUAGUCUACUCUGUGAUCUGAGAGCUUUGUGGAAUUCGAACUUAAAUUAUUGCAAU
rnacentral:sRNA from 1 species